rnacentral:miRNA from 1 species
UAUAAAAUAUUUUAACAGUAUAGCCGCGCGGCUAUAAGUUGUAAAUAUAUUUGAAUAUUUUAAACGUAUAGCCGUCCGGCUAUACUAUUUAAAUUUAUUCAA